rnacentral:rRNA from 1 species
UACAGAGGUCCCAAGCGUUGUUCGGAUUCACUGGGCGUAAAGGGUGCGCAGGUGGUUUGGCAAGUUUGAUGUGAAAGCCCCGGGCUUAACCCGGGAAUGGCAUUGAAUACUGCUUGAACUUGAGGAUCGGAGGGGGGACUGGAAUUCUUGGUGUAGCAGUGAAAUGCGUAGAUAUCAAGAGGAACACCAGUGGCGAAGGCGAGUCCCUGGACGAUACCUGACACUGAGGCACGAAAGCCAAGGGAGCAAACAGG